rnacentral:tRNA from 1 species
GAGGGUACAGCUCAGUGGUAGAGUGUGUGCCUAGCAUGCACAAGGCCCUGGGUUCAAUGCCUGGUACCUCCA